CGUUGUCUUAUUCACCGAAUCAUCAUGAUUUUUCUAUUAGCUCACCUCGUCCGUCAAUAGAGAGUUGAAAACGGUAUUAGAAACAAAAUGUACUAAAUUGCUCAAAAAAAAAAAAGAAAAAAAGUACUGUUGAACAAAAAGAACGAAACAAAAUGUACUAUAUAACAAAUAUUGAAAUAUGUGUACAUACGGAGGAGAUGAUGAGAAAACUCGAUUUUCUGAUCAACUCGAUCAGAUUCUUUCAGAGAGAGCGCGAGAGAGUUUCAUCCCUUUAUCUUACCGGUUUCUAGUUCCGGUGAAGGUUUUCCGAGGUUCGGGCUUUGGUUCGGCAUAUAGUGGUUCCCACAACACGAUAUGGCUGGUUUGUUGACUCCGACGAUUCACUUUUCAUUUUGGUGAUGUCGGCUGGUACUGGGGUUGUGGUUUUGAUUUCAGAUCAGAAGGAGUAGAAGUUUAUGCCUUGUGUUUGGUGGUUCGGUUCGUAGAUGAGAUCUCGAUUUAGAUCGAUUGAAGCUCUCAGAAGAACGAGCACAAAGGUAUGUGUUGAAGACGAUGGAUUUCCCCUACCUUCCACAUAGUUGUUGGAGGUUUCUUUCGUCGUGGUGGUCCUAGGUGAUUCCGGUGGUUUCGAGGAGAAGUUUAGUCCGGUGGAGACGUUCGGUCGAUGAAGACGAUGGCAAGUUGCAUGUGUUUCCCGGCGAGAUUCCGGUGAAACAACUCGUGUUUCUCCGGAGGUGGAGAAGACAAAGGGAGAUGACGACACAUGUUACCUUGUUGUUGAGGUUCUAACACGUGUCUUUCGACGUGUUGGGUGAUCGGUGCAGCUUGGGUGGGCUUUUGGUUUUGGGCUUUGCCCCUUCAAUUUUUUCCUUGUUUGUUAGUUUUUUCGGUUGGACUUCAGAUUUGUUAUGUGGAUUUUUGUAUGGGCUUUGCUUUCUGAACUUUGUUUUUCAAAUAAUAAUUCACAGAUGGAAAAAAAAAAUUUGAAAUAUGUGUAUAUAAAUAGGUAAACAAAAGUCCAAAAUAUACAUCAACAGAAAGACUACAAAAACUGGAGAACGCAAAAUAUUAAUCAGCUACGUGUUUGUGUGUGUGUGUCAUAUUUUUCUUCGACAAACUAUAUCUUCUAACCAAUUUAUAAUUAUUUUCUUCUACAUUUUCUUGUUGUGUAGUAUUCUUUUUUCCGUGGGAACUAGGGACCUAGUGUGAAUAUAUAUACUAUUCUUGUACUUUAUGCAACAAGUUGAUGAGUCCAGUCCUUUCUAAACCCAAAAAUGCUGAAGGUUUUUAGAAUAAUGAAACAGGCAGCCUAUGAGCUGGCAAAUUAAUUUAAGGAAAAAUGGUCAAUCGAUUAAAAACAGAGAAUACUGGCCAUUUUUUAAAGACUGUAUUGGAGCAUGGGUUUGAGUUCUUGUUCUAUUCUAACACAAAAUCACACACCAGAUCACCCCAUUUUCUGGUAACCACACACUUGGUUUCUCUUGUUCUUGUUCUGAUUAUACCAUAACCCAUAUCAAGAAUCAAAAAACCCAACAUCCAACUUAAGUAAUCUAAGGGUUCCAUUAUUCUAACACAAAACGCUAAGAGAGAGAGAGAGAGAGAGAGAACUGACCUUUAAGAGAGCUAAGGCAUGAGAGAUGGAGAAGAGAGAUCGUGAGAGGUGAAAAGAGGUGUGAGAGAUGGAGAUGAGAGAUCGUGAGAGAUGGUGAAGAGAGGUGUGAGAGAGGCGUGAGAGAUGGUGAAGGGAGAGAGAGAGAGCUGAGGCCUGAGAGAUCGUGAGAGAUGGUGAAGAGAGAGAGAGAGAGAGAGAGAGAGAGAGAGAAGAGAGGCGUGAGAGAUGGCUAAGAGAGAGAGAGAGAGAGCUGAGGCGUGAGAAAUUAUUUUAGGAUUUAGGUUACUGGUAUUGUUUUGUAAUUUUGAAGAUAGAUUGAGGGUGUUUUUGUAUUUUGAGUUUUUUUUUUCUGAUCGCAGCUAGGUUUUGGUCGCAAACGCUGAAUUUCUCGGCGAUCAAAAUUUUUAAUCGCGGGUCGCUAGCGUCUGGUCGCUGCGAUCAGUCGCUGAACGUGCGACCGGUAAACGAACAACGUUUAGACGCUCAGGUUGGUCGCUGACGCUAGCGACCUCCAAACGAACAUG
rnacentral:lncRNA from 1 species